rnacentral:snoRNA from 1 species
UCCACCACUGCACCUGACCAUUCUCUGUUGCUGGUGCAAUCCAGUGGUGAGCUGAGAGUAAGCCCCUGCUCAGGAAACAGUGUUGUUCUUCAUGUGGAUGACUCUGCCGAAAGCAUGGGGACAGUC